rnacentral:tRNA from 1 species
UUGAAAGUAGGUUAUACUCUUAAACCUUCCAAUUGUCAAUUGGAGAAAUCUUUUUAAAGACUUUUAAA